rnacentral:misc_RNA from 2 species
GAAAUGCGAUACGUAGUGUGAAUUGCAGAAUUCAGUGAAUCAUCGAAUCUUUGAACGCACAUUGCGCCCUUUGGUAUUCCAAAGGGCAUGCCUGUUCGAGCGUCAUUUGUACCCUCAAGCUUUGCUUGGUGUUGGGCGUCUUAUUGUCUCUCCGUCUCGGGGAGACUCGCCUUAAAACAAUUGGCAGCCGGCCUACUGGUUUCGGAGCGCAGCACAAAUUUGCGCUUGCAAUCAGCCAAGGGCGGCAUCCAUGAAGCCUUUUUUCUCUCACAUUUUGACCUCGGAUCAGGUAGGGAUACCCGCUGAACUUAA